CUGUCCAGGAUGUAGUCCAGGAUCAUGAGUUGCAUUUAAUUGUCAUGUCUUUUUAGUAGUGUUUGACCUGGAACAGUUCCUCAGGCUCUCUUUGUCUUUCACGACCUUGACAAUUUUGAAGAGUCCAGGGGAGAUCUUUUGUGGAAUGCUCGUCAAAUUGGGCUUGUCUGAUGUUCCCACGUGAGUAGAUUCAGGUUAUGUUGUGGUCGGUUGUUGGAUACCACUGAAGCGCUGUAUGUCCUCCUUAGUGUGGCACGUCAGGAGGCAGGGGAUGCAGGCACAUCUCAGGAUUAAUGAAUUUAACCCAAAUCUCUUUUUUGAAAGCUAAAUAUGACAUAUCUCUGAGCAGAAAUGGUACAGAAUCUGGAGCCAAACAGAUCUGGCUUUCAGUCUUGGCCCUGCUACUAUUAGUUCUGGGAUCAUAAACAAAAUAUUUAACAUUUUAAAGCCAUCUGUAAAAUAUAUCUAAUAAUAGCUACUUCUUAAGAUUAUUGAAAAAUUAAAUACAAGUUCAUGUAAAUAUUUUAGCACAGUGCCUGGCACAUAGUAAGAACUCUUUACUCUUGUUUUGGGGGUAGGUGAUGUUACCCAAGUAUCAUAGGGGCCUCCCUGUCCCUUGAGGGUAUUGGUGAAAUUGCUCAGAAUCUCUGUAUCUCUGUAGGAGGAGCCCACAGGCCUCCUGUAUGCUUCCAUUAAUUCCCAAAGAGCCAUGUUCUUCUCUGCCUUCUCACUCCCUCCUCUAGCCUUUGCUAUUGCCCAUCUCCCAUGUCCAUAAGAAGCCCACUCGCCCAAGUGUUGGGUUAGUUUCAGGUAUUGACCUGUGAUGGGGGCCAGGCUCUUGGCAAAUGCAAACUGACCUCCCACUCCAUUCUCCUCCUCUUCUUGUUUUGUUUUGUCACCUUGCCUCCUGGAUUACUCAUCCUCCUCACCUCCAAAUCCCUCUCCCUCUACUACGCAGGGAACUCUCUCCAGCUCCUACCUCCAAAUUUGCAUAUCUUAACCCAUUGAGGCCUCCACAGAACAAUGCCUCUGCCUGAACUAGGAGCCAGCUCCCUAGGGAGCAGAUGGCCUUAUAAAUAGGAAGUUCUUUUUCUAUAACAUGAUUGUUUUUAUUCUGUUCAUUGUGCUGCUUGUGCAACAGUAAUGCCGUGGUAUUUCUCUUUAUAUCGACUUGUGAGGAUAGCAUGCGGUUUGAACCUGUAUGGGCAUUACCUUGAUGGAGUCACUACCCUGCUGGCAAUUAGAGUAAUUGCCUGUGGCUAACCAUGGACCUUUACAGAGGUGUUUCACCUGAAUUCCUGGGGAGAAAGAUGGGCUCAGGUGAAGUUGUGUCACACAGCAUCUUGCUUUUUAGAAGUGAGCGUUACCCGGGGCCUGCACAGUGCCAGCGCCACUUAGGUUGUUUUUUAUAACCUGUCUCAUGAAUGGAUCCUACAAAAUGAGCGCUGGAUGUUGCACCUUCUCGUCUUGUGCCACCUCUCACUCCUUCUCCAAGGAGCUGUUUCUCUGGGUGAACUUGUUGGGUGGGGCUACCAGACCUUCCAUGUGAAACUCAGGGAUGCCUUUUUCACCUUCUGUUUUUUGCAUAAAUGAAUGACACUUCCAGGAUACCUUUGUUCAUCCCUGUCUCAUGAGAAAUUCUUUAAUCUUGAAAAGCAGGGGGAAGGGAGAGAAAGAAAGGGACAGUGUUUACCCUGGUAAAGGCCAUUGGUAUGUAGGGAGGCGCCCCGCACGUAGGGUUGUGGGCAGGUGAGACCCCAUGGUUGUGGCUGCUGCUGACUGGCGGGCUUGGGCAUUCGGUUCUCCAGGGGAACGGGGCUGCCCUGGGGUGUAUUUGAGGGUGAUGAGAGUUUGUGGGAACUCUUUUGUGUUGCCCAAACUUGCAGGACUCUGACUAUCCUAUCACUCUUAUCACCCUAAAUUAUAUUAUUUGUUCUAAUGAAAAGUCUGUUUCAGAGAAGCCUGUGGAACAGAAAGGAGACUGGACCCCAGACUGGUUGUGUUGGCCUGUGCAGCAUUGAAAAUCAGAAUUAGUUGCCAAUCUGUAAAAGUCAGAUAUUAUAUAUUAUGUUCUCCUGGAAAAUUGGACAAAUGCACAACAUUGAGCCCACAAUCCCUCGUGGCAAUAAUCCUUUGGAGCCAAGAAAUGGCUGCCCUCUACAUGUAAGAGUGUUGUCAAGACAUCUGUUUGACUGUUGUGACCAAGACCAAAAUAAGUGGCUUAAACAGGGUGGGAACUUGUUUUUCUCUCAUUUGACAGUCAAAGUGCUAGUUGCCCAAGGCAGAUAUGACAGCUCCAUAGUGCCAGAGACCCAGGCUGCUUCCGUUUUCUCUCUGUCCUCUGCAGUGGGUUUCAUCUUGUGGUUCUAGAUGCUGCUUUGUUUCUCACCAUCAUGUCUGCUGCAGCCUAUAGUAGGAAGAGGAAGUAGAGGAUGCACCCCUUCAAGACUCAACCUGGCGUAGUGGUUAAAGUUCCACAUGCUCUGCUUCAGUGGCCCUGGUUUGCAGGUUUGGAUCCCAGGCUCGGACCUACACCAUUAGUCAGCCAUGCUGUGGCAGCAACCCGUAGACAAAAUAGAGGAAGAUUGGCACAGAUAGUAGCUCAGGGCCAGUCACCCUCAGCAAAAAAAAAAGACCCAAACUGGAAGUUGCAUGUAUCAUUUCUUCUCACAUCCUAGUGGCCAGAACUUACUGAUGUGGCUACAUCUGGCUCAAAUAAAGCUAGAGAAGCAUGAUUUCCAUCUAUAUGGCCAUGUGAAUAGUUAAAAUCCAGUUCUUACUAAAGGGAGAAGGUGAGAGUGGGCCAUAUGGACAGCUAGUAUUCUGUGCUAUGACAGACCUUGGGCUCACCUGUUUACUACAGUCCUCGACUCUCUAGGCUUCUCACGACUGAGGCCAAGGGUCGUUGUCAUCCAUUGCUUUAAAGCUGGUGUGUUUCACUCUUUUGUAUUACCUGCUCUGUCCCUGUGGACAUUUGAGGUUGAAUUCUCAGCUGUACCUUGAUAAUCUCUUUCAGCAUACCUCCAUGCUUUUAUACCUUCUGUCACCUCUGUUUAGAAUCCCACCCCCCUUUCAGGCCUGGCAAACUCCUAAGGAUAACUCAGCCCGGUCCUUCCUUUCCCAAAUAGAGUUCUUUCUCUUUUGUCUCAUCCUAAUACAUAAACUGCUAGUUGUACCUUUUAGUGUACUUACCUUUAUGUACUUGAUGCGUGACAAAAGCACUUGGUACGUAACAGACUAAUGAUCAGUACCAUUUACUGAGUGUUCAUUCAGAGAAAGAUGCUUUCUAGAACUUUUAUAAACAUUAUUUUUAAUACCCUACAGUGAAAUAGUGUAUUAGUCAUGGCCGUUCCAGUUGUAGAUGGUGGAAACUUGGCCCAAACUGACUUCAACCACAACAAAAAGGAGGAACAUUUGUUGGCUCAUGUAUCUGAGAAGUGGAGGUGUGGGUCUAGCUUCCGGUAUGGCUGGAACCAGGAGCUCAAAUUAUAGCAGAGCUCGGUCUCUCUCCAUCUCUUGGCUAUGCUUUCUUCUGUAUAGACUGCAUUCCCAGGGAAGCUUUCUCUGUAUAAUGAUGAAGAUGCCACUCAUAGUUUUGUAUUAUUCUUAUAGUUACUGAUGCCAGAAAAAAAGAACAUUAAUCUAUUUCUUCAUAGUGGUAAAUAUGUGCUGGAGAAAGUCCCUCAUUGGUCUGGCUUGGGUCGUAUGGCCAUUCCUAGUCCAGUCAGUAAGGCCAGGGAGAUAGAAUACACUGGACACACUCUAGUCAUCUGUCUACUUCUGGUACCGGGGGGUGAAGUCAACUCUACUCAAAUUACAUUGCAGAAAAGGUAGUUCUCCAAUGAGAGAGAAGACAGGCAAGAACAUGUGGCCUACACAUUUGGAACUACUCUUAUUCCAUUUUACAGGUAAGGUAACUGAGGCUAAAAGAGGUUAUGGUGACCUAAGGUCACAACUAGCAAGUGGCAGAGGUGGGAUUCAACCAGGUCUUUCUGACUGCAAUUGGUAGGCUCCAAAUUCGCUGUACUCAACUGUUUCUGGAAUGAAUGAUCUUGGAAGCCCUGUGUCUGUAUGGGGAAAACUCUGAGGUUUGAUGACUGUAUGGCAGUCAAAAUAUGGAAAUAUCUUGUAGCCCUACUAUGGCAAGAUUUCGCAUAGAAGUACAAAUUGAGCUAUCAACUCUGUUUUCCGUGGAACACCUCUAGCGGCUAUACCUGAAAAUGUUUCCCUUGGCCAGUGAAAGAACUCAUUUCGCAUUAGUGAAAGUACAAGGAGUCAGGUAGCUGGAUUUUUCUCUUCUCUUGAAACAUUUUAUUUAGUUUAGCACAUGGAUUCUCCAUGGAAGUGAUAUUGCCCACAAGGGAGCAAAACUGGUUCUUGACAGGGGAAGACAAAAAAAACCUUACUUUUUUUAUGUAUAAAGUACAUAUAUACAUACAGUACGUAGACAGAUAUAGUUUAUCUGUGGCAUUAAAAUUGCAUGAGGAGAAUAUGCUGUGAUAGAUCCCCUCUUGAAACGGCAGAUUUCCCCUCAAGGUCACCUUAUAUGCCUCCAGUUAUCACCUUUUUUCUCUGCUCUCCUUAGCAGCAAAACUUGAAAGACUUGUCUUUACUUCCCAAUUCCUGUCAUCCCAUUUGCUCUUGAACACAACUCAAUCUGCCUGUCACUUCCCCUCCCAGCCGGCCCUGGUUGAGCUCACCCAUAGUGUCUGCUUUACCAAACCCAGUGGUCAGCUUUCGGUCCUUGUCUUACUGACCCUGUGGACUACACUGACACAGUUGACCAUCCCUUCUUUUUUAAAUACCUUCUUUUCUAGCCUUUGAGGUUGCUGUUCUGUUGACUAUCUGCUCAGUCAUCUUGAGAAUCGUGGCUUUAAACUCUCUCUGUGUCUGACUCUCAAUUUCUAUCUCCAUUCCAACCUGGACCUCUCCCCUGAAUCCCAGACUUGUAUACGUGCACUCACCAUCUCUUCCUGUAUAGGCAUAUUCAAUGCUAUAUUCAUAGGCAACUCGUGCUAAGCAUAGAUUUUCAGGAAAUACAGGGGACAGAGAAGUAUGUUGAAAGAACCUAUGAGAAUGCUGCUGGCAAAAUCCUGACUGUGUCUGUAAGACAAAGGACCCAAUUUCUCCAGAAAACAAAUUUUAAAGGGGAAAAAAAGGAGUAAUGGAGGAGAAACCUAUAGAUUAAGAGAGACUUAAGAGAUAAAUAUCAAUCAGUUGCAAUAUAUGGACCUUAUUUGGAUACUGAUUCAAACAAAUGGUAAAAAAAAAUUAUGAGACAAUCGGGGAUAUUUGAAUAUUGACUAAGUAUUGAUAUUAAUUCUUGUUAAUUUUUUUAGUUAUGAUAAUGGUGAUUGGAUUAUAUGAGAAAAAAAAAUUCGGAAAUAAAUCUACCCAGAAUGUUGUCAAUUCUCACCACCUCCAGGAUUAGCACCCUCAGCUAAACUGACAUCCUCUCUUGUCUUAUUUUUAGAGUUGCCUCUUGACUGAUCUCCCUGCUUCUCCUCCCGCCCCCAACCCCCAGUCUGUUCUCAACAGAGCAGCCAGAGAGAUCCUGCUAAGAUGUGUCACGUUGUGCCGCUUCCCAUCUCAUUUGGAACUCCACUUUCCCCAACAAGACGUAAUGGCAUGUCUUGCUCGAGCACCUCCUUCUUGCCUCCGAGACUCUCCCUGACCACUCUACAUAGUGUAUCUGUGGGAUAGAUCCCCAGAAAUGGGCUGCUGGAUCAAGGGUAAACACGUCUCAUUUUGGUGGCUGGUGCCAGACUUCCCCUCCACGAGGGCCAUGCCCUGUAGCACUCCCAUCAGCAAUGAUUGAGAGGCCUGUUUUGCCAUGGCCUCACCAACUGUGUUAUGAAAGCUUUGGAUUCUUGCCAGCUCUGUAGGUGAGCGAUGCCUCAUGUUUCCUAACAGAGCAGCAUUGCGUUUGUUUCAAUAGUCUUAUUCAUCCUGAACAAGAAGCUCAGUGAAACUCAGCCCCGUCUGUUUUUCCCUGAGUGGCAAGUGUCCUACGUUGUCUGUUUCCAGGUCUUUGCUCUUGCUGUGCCCUCCACCAGGAAUGCUUUUCCUCCUCACUUUCAAGAUUUUCACCGUCCUUUGAGGCUUCCAAGUGCCAUCUUCUGAGAAACUUUCCGUGCUUCUGCUUCACACCCCACUUUCCAGACAUUUCCUCCUCCUCCGUGUUCCCUCUGGCUUACCACAGCUGCUUUGGGCUCUUGUGGGUCACACAGUUGUCAUGUUGCCCCGAGUCAGGUGGGAGUCCAGAGUCGGACAGGUCUGGUUUGAAUUCCAGCUUUGCCACUUACCAUCUGCAGGUCUGUGGUCAAAUUUCUUAACCUCUCUGAGCCUCAGUUUCCUCACCUGUACAGCGGGAACAAUGCUUCCCUCAUAAGACUAUAGCAAAGAGUAAACAAGAGAACCCACGUGAAGUAUGCAGCAGCAUCUAGGCGUUUAAUAAAGAUCAGCUCCCUGAGAGCAGAUCCGUCCAUUGGUUUUCUGCAGUGUCUUCCAUGCGUCCUUGCACAUAGUAGACAUAUCAUAUCUAGUCUUUAAAAAACAAAACUGUUUCUGUAAAGUGGAGGGUAGUUUAUUCAACAAGUAUUUGAGCACCUCUUCAGUUCUAGGCAUUGAGGUGAGGAUUAGCAGUGGAAAGAGACAAUCCUUUCCUUUGUAGCUUACAUUCAAUUGCAGUGACACACAAUUAACAGAAGUGAAUGAUACAGUAGUAAUUAUAGAUCUACAGUCAUGCACCGCUUAAUGACAGGGAUACCUUCUGAGAAAAGCAUCGUUAGGCGAUUUCGUCAUUGUGCAAACAUCAUAGAGUGUACUUACACAAACCCAGAUGGUAUAGCCUACUGCACACCUAGGCUAUAUGGUACUAAUCUGGUAGGACCACCGUCGUAUAUGUGGUCCGUUGUUGACCAGAACAUCACUGUGUGGCACAUGACUGUAUCUAUUUUAUAUCAUCUCCGAAAUCCUGUAGCACUAUCUUUUUUGAUAAUUGCUUCAAGAAUUAUUUAUUUUUCUUUAUUACACUGUAAGUUCCUUGGGGGCUGGAAUGAUGACUGCUCUUUGAGGAAUCUCCUCGGAGCCUAAUAUGAUGGAGGAAACCCAAACCCAAAUCUAUUAAUGUCUCCCAUCUGCUUAAACCCUUCGCAGCUCCUCAUGGCAUUCAGAGUGCGGUCCAGACUCCUUCUGUGGCCUGCAAGGCCCUGUGUGGUCUGGGGCCUGCCUUCCUUUCUAGCCUUUUCUGUUGCCUGGUGGUUUACCUACUCCUGAACCCUACAUACACCCCAGCUCCACUGAACCUCCAAGUUCUAGAAUGCCCCAUGCUCACUCAUCUCUGCUUUUUUUGCACAUACUGUUCCAUUUGCCUGGAAUGGUUUCCUUGCCUACCUCACCUGGCCAAUAUUCUUUUGGUCUCUGUUAAAUGUCACUUCCUUCAGGAAGCCCUCCUUGAUCUCCACACCCCCCCCCCCCCCCAGUCUGGGUCGUGUGCCCCUCCUCUGCUUUAGUAACAAUCAGGACUUCCUUCUCUUCAGACUGCCACAGCCUUAUAUUGUAAUUGCUGGUUUACUUGUCUGAAUCUCCCUCAUUGUUAAGCCCCCCUGGAAGUAGGGAUGUCUCUCAUCUGGUACUAUAUCUGCAAUGAAUGCCUGACACAGUGACUGACGGAUGGACAGAUGGAUAGUUGAAGCAGAGAAUGGGCCAUGGAUACGUGUUCUGACUUGUCUUUAUUGAAACCAGCCCUGUUGGAACCUGUUUUCCUUUGUAGGCGUCUGAUUUUCCUUUGGCACUCCCUUGAGACAGGCAACAUGUUUUGCUUCUGGCCCCAUUACUGGCCCAGUGACCCCGGCGAGAUCACUUACUCUUCUGGAGCAUUUAUUAAAUGACCUACUGGGGCUGCAGUGUUGCUUUACUCUGAGGGCUCUUUUGACAUUGUAUUCCAUGGGAGUGGCAGCCUUAGGGUUGUAAAACGUGCUGUGUUGCUUCAGAUGUUCCUACUGGAUUUGAGAUUCUGUAGGUCAGGUCCCCUGCCUUUCUCACACAGGUUUUUCUCGGGAAGAGCAGUGCCUAAUUCAACCACAGAGGGAGAGGAGGGGCACGUGUGGGUGCACACCUGGGUGCCUUUGUGUGUUGUUGAUCCUUGGCCUAGCCAGCAGAGGGCAGCAGAGCAGCCCACCAUAAUGUCUACAUUUUAAUUAACCCCCACCCCCAUAUUUGCUCCCCCAAAAUGGUGGUUUUUCUGGAAGAUUUGUGGUCUAGCCACUGAACAGAGAGAAAAAAAUCCCCCUAUUAUGU